rnacentral:sRNA from 1 species
GCUGGGUGCUGUGGCCCAUGCCUGUAAUCCCAGCAGCUCAGGAGGCUGAGACAGGAGGAUUGCAUGUUUAAAGCCAGCCUCAGCAAAAGGGAGGUGAUAAGCAACACAGUGAGAUCCUAUCUCUA